AGUCCCCUUCGGGGGGCGAGUAGAGUGGCGGAAGGGUGAGUAAUGCCUAGACAAUCUACCCUCGAGUUGGGGACAACAGCCGGAAACGGCUGCUAAUACCGAAUGUAGCCUCGUGAUCGCAUGGUCGUGAGGUGAAAGGUGGGUUUCGGCCUGUCGCUCGAGGAGGAGUCUAGGUCCUAUCAGCUUGUUGGUGAGGUAACGGCUCACCAAGGCUUUGACGGGUAGCCGACCUGAGAGGGUGACCGGCCACACUGGAACUGAGACACUGUCCAGACUCCUACGGGAGGCUGCAGUCGAGAAUCUUCGGCAAUGGACGAAAGUCUGACCGAGCGACGCCGCGUGGAGGAUGAAGGCCUUCGGGUUGUAAACUCCUGUCAGGAGUUAAGAAAUCCGGGUGUGUUAAUACCAUGCCCGGCUGACAAAAGCUCCAGAGGAAGUCAUGGCUAACUCUGUGCCAGCAGCCGCGGUAAUACAGAGAUGGCAAGCGUUGUUCGGAUUUACUGGGCAUAAAGGGCACGUAGGCGGAUUGGUAAGUCAGGUGUGAAAUCCCUCGGCUCAACCGAGGAACUGCGCCUGAUACUGUCAGUCUUGAGGGCAGGAGGGGAGAGUGGAACUCUUGGUGGAGCGGUGAAAUGCGUAGAUACCAAGAG
rnacentral:rRNA from 1 species